GGGUUCCAGGGAUUUUAGUCCCUGUUUUCGUCCACCAGAGGGCAGCAGGGAGCGGCACCUGGAAAGGACGUGCCGUUUUUCUGACACACCUGAUGCUCAUCACCUCAUCUUCCUGGAGCAUAAGAGGAGCAGACGGCCAGCACUUCAGCGCCUGAGUGUUUGCCAGUAUUGAUGUUCCCCUUGUGACGCCGUGGAUAAUACCCACUGGAUGCCUGAGACUUUUUUCAUCUCCACUGUUGGAUUACCAAAUCAUUUCCGGAUUCUCCAGUUGGCCGUCGACUGCUCCUCUUAUCUUCUCCGAGCUUCAGCUUACCUGUCCGCCCUCCAACUCUGUCUGGACAUCAUCUAAGGAUCAAGACCCUGGAACCACAACCAUUUACUCCCCUCUGGCUCAAACCACACCUCAGCAGAAUGAGACCAGGACGAGCCCGUGAACCAGACUCCAGAAAAUACAAUAUCUGCUUGUAAAUUUUGACCAUAAAUAAAUCCUCUUAACUGA